rnacentral:rRNA from 1 species
AUUGAACGCUGGCGGCAGGCCUAACACAUGCAAGUCGAGCGGAUGAAGGGAGCUUGCUCCUGGAUUCAGCGGCGGACGGGUGAGUAAUGCCUAGGAAUCUGCCUGGUAGUGGGGGAUAACGUCCGGAAACGGGCGCUAAUACCGCAUACGUCCUGAGGGAGAAAGUGGGGGAUCUUCGGACCUCACGCUAUCAGAUGAGCCUAGGUCGGAUUAGCUAGUUGGUGGGGUAAAGGCCUACCAAGGCGACGAUCCGUAACUGGUCUGAGAGGAUGAUCAGUCACACUGGAACUGAGACAACGGCCCGACUUCUAAGGGAGGGAGGAGUUGGGAAUAUUGGACAAUGGGCGAAAGCCUGAUCCAGCCAUGCCGCGUGUGUGAAGAAGGUCUUCGGAUUGUAAAGCACUUUAAGUUGGGAGGAAGGGCAGUAAGUUAAUACCUUGCUGUUUUGACGUUACCAACAGAAUAAGCACCGGCUAACUUCGUG